rnacentral:lncRNA from 1 species
AUUCCCUUCCAAUUAUUUUAUGAUAUUUUACAUUAUUUGUGUUUUUGAGGUUAUUUACAUCGGUGUCUGUAUGGGGGAAAUAUAAUGGUGUGUUACUGCAAAGCUAUUCUAAUUCCAUAUUCAGUAACAUCAUGUCAGUGGUUUGAAUUCAGCCACGUUGGCAGUGUUUACACCUUGGAAAUCAUCACAUGCUAUAAAUCAGAUGACUUCCCACCUGUUCCCCACCAAGAGAGCCAGUAGUUAAAUAUGCACUAGCACAUCACUGGAAAGAACAUCCACUGAGUACCAAAGGAUGAGACUUUUCUGCUGAUGGAACUUCUAAGUCUGCAUCAGGCUGCUUUUGAUUCUGAAAUGACAGUGUUAUUUGGUAGAAAGUUUCCAACCUUUGAAAAAGUGGUAUUUUAAAUAUAAGGAAUAGAGGUUAUACCUGGUUCUGAUAAAGUGGGUUUGCGUGGGCUGCACAAUUUGAGCACCAGUUCCUAUGUGUCAUUGAGGAAUGAGAUCACAGUAGCAAGGAAAAAGCCAUCAGAGGAUGUCUCAGUCAUCUUUUGCUUUAUUCUGACAAGCAAGAAAGGUAGAUGAAAAAAAUUUUUUACCCUUUAAAAUAAGCUAGAUUUUCUAAAUAAAGACUUGGAUAAUUAGAGCUGAAAAUAGUUGUAAUUUUAAAAUGAGAGGAACAAUAGGACUCUGUUUUUGUCUUUCAGUUGCUGCAUUAAAAAAAAAUCCUCCCCAAUGAAAGAGAAGAUAAAGAAGAAAAGAGGAAAAGAGAAGAGGGACAAAGAGAAUCACUUCCAGCUUGGUAUGGCAUUUCUCUUGGAUCCUGUCACAGUACUGUCAACAAAACCAGUCAACACCCAGUGUGGUUCUACCAAUGGUGAUAGAUGCAUUAUUUUAUCAUAAAUUAGCAGAGAACAAAAGGCUCAAGUCUACAAGAAAGUAGGAGAAUUUUAAUUUUUUAUUCUUAAGUUUUCCUCCUAAUUCUAAUUAUUGUGAAUUGAAAGCAAAACAGAAAAUUCAGGUUCAUUCUUGAAUUGUAACAUUUCAGGUACUUUUGGAGGCUCUGAGUUGUUGGGAUAUACUAAAAAGUAGUAAGCUGUGGUGAGAAAUAGAUCUAGAUGGUUAAGAGUUUUUCUUUUUUUAAAGCAUAGCAGAAUAUAGGCUAAGUGACUCCCUGUGUUUGCUUUUGUAUAUCAAUUUCUCAACCUUCUCUUACAAUAUAAAUGAUUUGGGUUUUAAAGUAUCUUAGCAGUUAUUCAAGGGACUCUUAGAAAAUAUUUCUGCUGCAGUCCCUGGACAAAUUGAGACAGGGAUGGGGGAAUUUUUUGUGCUAAGGUAGGAUGUUUAGGUCUAGGGUAAUUUCUUAACUCCCAGAUAGGCAAUAACAUCUUCAGUCUUUGUAAUAUCCCCUCUUCCCAAGUGGACAAAUAAACCAUCAGUUGGAUGCUUCUCUGCA